UAGGGAAUCUUCCACAAUGGGCGAAAGCCUGAUGGAGCAACGCCGCGUGUGUGAUGAAGGCUUUCGGGUCGUAAAGCACUGUUGUAUGGGAAGAACAGCUAGAAUAGGAAAUGAUUUUAGUUUGACGGUACCAUGCCAGAAAGGGACGGCUAAAUACGUGUCAG
rnacentral:rRNA from 1 species